rnacentral:SRP_RNA from 1 species
ACUGAGUUUGGUGGUAUGCUCCUGUAGUUCCAGCUACUAAGGAGGCCGAAGCAAGAGGGGUGCUUGAGCCUAGGUGUUCUGGGCUGUGGUGAGCUAUGCUUAUCUGGUGUCUGCAUUAAGUAUGGCAUCAAUAUGGUGACCUCCCAGGGGCAAGGGAUCACCAGAUUGUCUAAGGAGGGGUGAACCCAUCCAGGUUGGAAUUGGAGAAGGUCAUAACUCUUGCUGAGCAGUCAUGCAAUCGCAACUGUCAAUAGCCACUGCACUCCAGCCUUGGCAACACAGUGAGAGCCCGUUUCU